rnacentral:rRNA from 1 species
UACGAAGGGGGCUAGCGUUGCUCGGAAUCACUGGGCGUAAAGCGCACGUAGGCGGAUUGUUAAGUCAGGGGUGAAAUCCUGGAGCUCAACGUCCAGAACUGCCUUUGAUGCUGGCGAUCUUGAGUCCGGGAGAGGUGAGUGGAACUGCGAGUGUAGAGGUGAAAUUCGUAGAUAUUCGCAAGAACACCAGUGGCGAAGGCGGACUC